rnacentral:rRNA from 1 species
ACGUAGGGGGCAAGCGUUGUCCGGAAUUACUGGGCGUAAAGCGCACGCAGGCGGAUCGUUAAGUCGGAAGAGAAAGAUCGGGGCUCAACCCCGGUUUGCGUUCGAUACUGGCGGACUGGAGUGCCGGAGAGGGAAGUGGAAUUCCCGGUGUGGCGGUGAAAUGCGUAGAUAUCGGGAGGAACGCCAGUGGCGAGGGCGGCUUCCUGGCCGACAACUGACGCUCAUGUGCGAAAGCUGGGAGAGCAAACGG